rnacentral:rRNA from 1 species
CCUACGGGAGGCAGCAGUGGGGAAUAUUGCACAAUGAGCGAAACCCUGAUGCAGCGACGCCGCGUGAGUGAAGAAGUAUUUCGGUAUGUAAAGCUCUAUCAGCAGGGAAGAAGAAAGACGGUACCUGACUAAGAAGCCCCGGCUUACUACGGGCCAGCAGCCGCGGUAAUACGUAGGGGGCAAGCGUUAUCCGGAUUUACUGGGUGUAAAGGGAGCGUAAACGGGGAAGCGAGUCUGAAGGGAAAGCCCGUGGCUUAAACCCGGGAUUGCUUUGGAAACUGGUUGACUAGAGUGAUGGAGAGGUAAGUGGAAUUCCUAGUGAAGCGGUGAAAUGCGUAGAUAUUAGGAGGAACACCAGUGGCGAAGGCGGCUUACUGGAUAUUAACUGACGUUGAGGCUCGAAAGCGUGGGGAGCAAACAGGAUUAGAUACCCGGGUAGUC